GGGAGAUACCAUGAUCACAGAGGUGGUUUUCCCAGUUUGAGGCUGAUCUGUUGCACUCUGGAUAUGCUAACCUGUGAUCUCCCCAUAAUUUGUAGUAGUCGA
ensembl:snRNA U1 U1 spliceosomal RNA